ensembl:lncRNA
AGGGUUAUGAGCUAGGGUUAGGGUUAGGGUUAAGAGCUAGUGUUAGGUUUAGGGUUAGGAGCUAGGGUUAGGAGCUAGGGUUAGGUUUAGGGUUAGGAGUGAGGAAUUAGGAACCAGGGUUAGGUGCUAGGGUUAAGAGCUAGGGUUAGCUGUAGGGUUAGGAGCUAGGGUUAGGUUUAGGUUUAAGAGCUUGGGUUAGGUUUAGGAUUAGGUGCUAGGGUUAGGUUUAGGGUUAGGUUUAGGGUUAGGAGCUUGGGUUAGGUUUGGUGUUCGGGGCUAGAGCUAAGUUUAGGUUUAAGAGCUUGGGUUAGGUUUAGGAUUAGGGUUAGGGUUAGUUUUAGGGUUAGGAGUGAGGGUUAGGAACCAGGGUUAGGGUUAGGUGCUAGGGUUAGGUGCUAGGGUUAGGUUUAGGAUUAGGUGCUAGGGUUAGGUGCUAGGGUUAGGUUUAGGGUUAGGUGCUAGGGUUAGGUGCUAGGGUUAGGUUUAGGGUUAAGAGCUAGGUUAGGUUUAGGGUUAGGUGCUAGGGUUAGGUUUAGGGUUAGGAGCUAGGGUUAGGUUUAGGGUUAGGUGCUAGGGUUAAGAGCUAGGGUUCGUUUUAGGGUUAGGAGCUAGGGUUCGGUUUAGGGUUAGGAGCUCGGAUUAGUUUUAGGGUUAGGUGCUAGGGUCAGAUUUAGGGUUAGGAGCUAGGGUUAGGUUUAGGUGCUAGGGUUAGGUUUAGGGUUAAGAGCUAGAGUUAGGUUUAGGGUUAGGAGCUAGGGUUAAGUUUAGUGUUAAGAGCUAGGGUUAGGAUUAGGGUUAAGAGCUAUGUAUAGGUUUAGGGUUAGGAGCUAGGGUUCGGUUUAGGGUUAGGAGCUAGGAUUCGUUUUAGGGUUAGG